rnacentral:tRNA from 1 species
GGUAGCUCGUUGGGCUCAUAACCCAAAGGUCGGGGGUUCAAAUCCCCCCCCCGCAACCA